GAUGAACGCUGGCGGCGUGCCUAAUACAUGCAAGUCGAGCGAACAGAUGAGGAGCUUGCUCCUCUGACGUUAGCGGCGGACGGGUGAUUAACACAUGUAUAACCUACCUAUAAGACUGGGGUAACUUCGGGAAACCGUAUCUAAUACCCGAUAAUAUAUUGAACCGCAUUGUUCAAUAGUUAAAUACGGUUUUUCUUUCGCUUAUAGCUGGAUCCGCGUCGCAUUAACUAGUUGGUAAGGUAACUGCUUACCAAGGCAACGAUGCGUAGACGCCCUGAGAGGGUGAUUGGACACCCUGGAACUGAGAAACGGCACACACACCUACGCGAGGACGCAGCAGGGACUCCUACGCAAUGCGGGAAAGGCGGAUGGUGCACAGCCGCGUGAGUGAUGAAGGUCCUCGGCCCGUAAAAUUAUGUUAUCAGGGAAGAACAAAUGCGCAAGUAACCAUGAACGUAUUGACGGUACCGAAUCAGAAAGCUACGGCUAACUCCGUG
rnacentral:rRNA from 1 species